GUCAAUUUGAUGGAGCUGGAAUCUGAUCAACAACAACUUCUACCUGCCAGGUUAAUAACACCUGAUAUUUCCAAAGGGAGAGAAUUCAUAAUUAAAUAAUACGGGAGAAAAUACAGCCUUGGAUGUCGAUUUCACACCUCAGACUUGUUUGGAAAAGUUCUUGUUUCUAUGGCUACUAAUAAUACAAAGCUGGCUAAACAUGAUUCAGCCCGGGUCGAUAGAAGCUCAAGGUCAGCCUUUUGUUGGGGGUUGUGAAUGAAAAAAGUCGAUGUGCAUAUAGCGUGGUAUUCAGAAACAAAGCCCCCCCCAACAGGCUUGAACGGAUCAUUGAAGUACAUCACACAGCGAUGGACCUCCAGGUGUUACUGCAGUAAGAUGAACCUCACACGUCAACAGGUGACUGUGUCCUUUGAUGCUUCCUACGCCACAGCUGACAUCACUGCAUUACAGUGACACAGUCAGUCAGUGCUUUGAUGCAAUGCAGAAUGAGGAGGAUGCAGUUUUUGAGUGAUUUGGCUUCCUCUGAGACUUCUGCACUCAAACCAAAUACAGUAGAGACAGACUCUGGUCUCUCUAAUGAGGCCUGUCUCAGUCUGGAGGAGGAGAGAAGAGAAGGAGUACAGGUGGCAGCUCUCUAAUUAUGUCCCCAGUGGAUGACUACAUUACCCAGCUACCCCAGGCCUCUGACAGGACACAAACCUCACUAUCCUGGGUGAAAGUCUGCCGUUUGUUUGAGCCAUUCAUCACCUCAGCCUCCAACUAAAGGGGGAAAUCUGCUAUUUAACUUCGCUUCGCCGUCAGUCGCUACUACAUCAGCAAGAUGGCGGCGGACGCAUU